AUUGAACGCUGGCGGCAGGCCUAACACAUGCAAGUCGAGCGGAGCGGCGGACGGGUGAUUAAUGCCUAGGAAUCUGCCUGGUAGUGGGGGAUAACGUCCGGAAACGGGCGCUAAUACCGCAUACUAUCAGAUGAGCCUAGGUGGGAUUAGCUAGUUGGUGGGGUAAAGGCCUACCAAGGCGACGAUCCGUAAGUGGUCUGAGAGGAUGAUGGGUCACACUGGAACGGAGACACGGUCCAGACUCCUACGGGAGUCAGCAGUGGGGAAUAUUGGGCAAUGGGCGAAAGCCUGAUCCAGCCAUGCCGCGUGUGUGAAGAAGGUCUUCGGAUUGUAAAGCACUUUAGGUUGGGAGGCGUUACCAACAUAAUAAGCACCGGCUAACUUCGUGCCAGCAGCCGCGGUAAUUC
rnacentral:rRNA from 1 species